UACAGAGGCCCCAAGCGUUACUGAGAAUCACUGGGUUUAAAGGGUGCGUAGGUGGUCCGUUAAGUUCGUUGUGAAAGCCCUGGGCUCAACCCAGGAACUGCUUCGAAUACUGGCGGACUUGAGGCUAGUAGGGGUUACUGGAACUGACGGUGGAGCGGUGAAAUGCGUAGAUAUCGUCAGGAACGCCAAUGGUGAAAACAGGUAGCUGGGAGUGUGCCGACGCUGAGACACGAAAGCCAGGGGAGCGAACGGG
rnacentral:rRNA from 1 species